rnacentral:rRNA from 1 species
AUUCCAGCUCCAGUAGCGUAUAUUAUUACUGUUGUAGUUAAAAAGCUCGUAGUUGAAUAUCUGGCGUUGGGAAGCCCUGCCCGCCGCGAUUCGCGUGUGAGUUGUGGGGCGUCCCCGCCAUCCUGUGUGGGAGCCCGCCUACCCUUCAUUGGGCCGGGCGGUGCGAGCACACUCAGUUACUUUGAGAAAAUCUGCGCGUUCAAAGCAGGCACACGCUAUGAAAGCUUCAGCAUGGAAUAACAAGAUAGGACCUGGGUCUCUAUUUUGUUGGUUUCUAGGAUCGAGGUGAUGAUUGAUAGGGACAGUUGGGGGUGCUUGUAUUUAACGGCCAGAGGUGAAAUUCUUGGAUUCGUUAAAGACAAACUACUGCGAAAGCAUUCACCAAGGAUGUCUUCAUUG